rnacentral:rRNA from 1 species
GUGAGGAAUAUUGGUCAAUGGGCGAGAGCCUGAACCAGCCAAAUCGCGUGAAGGAAGACUGCCUUAUGGGUUGUAAACUUCUUUUAUACAGGAAUAAAAAAGGGGACGUGUCCCUUAUUGCAUGUACUGUAUGAAUAAGCAUCGGCUAACUCCGUGCCAGCAGCCGCGGUAAUACGGAGGAUGCGAGCGUUAUCCGGAUUUAUUGGGUUUAAAGGGUGCGCAGGCGGGCUUUUAAGUCAGCGGUGAAAUCUCGGGGCUUAACUCCGAAACUGCCGUUGAAACUGGGAGUCUUGAGUAUGGAUGAAGUAGGCGGAAUUCGUUGUGUAGCGGUGACAUGCUUAGAUAUAACGAGGAACUCCGAUUGCGUAGGCAGCUUACUAAGCCAUAACUGACGCUCAAGCACGAAAGCGUGGGGAUCAAACAGGAUUAGAAACCCUAGUAGUCC